rnacentral:rRNA from 1 species
GGGUGCAAGCGUUGUCCGGAAUUAUUGGGCGUAAAGAGCUCGUAGGCGGUUUGUCGCGUCUGCUGUGAAAUCCUAAGGCUCAACCUUAGACUUGCAGUGGGUACGGGCAGGCUUGAGUGCGGUAGGGGAGAUUGGAAUUCCUGGUGUAGCGGUGGAAUGCGCAGAUAUCAGGAGGAACACCGAUGGCGAAGGCAGAUCUCUGGGCCGCUACUGACGCUGAGGAGCGAAAGCAUGGGGAGCGAAC